rnacentral:rRNA from 1 species
AGCCCGCUCAGAAACUUAAGGAAAUUGACGGGGCCCGCGACAAGCGGAGGAGCAUGUGGUUAAUUCGAUGAUACGCGAGGAACCUUACCUGGGCUCGAACGUAAGAUGACUGUAGGUGAAAGCUUACAUCUCUUCGGAGCAUUUUACGAGGUGCUGCAUGGUUGUCGUCAGCUCGUGCCGUGAGGUGUCGGGUUAAGUCCCAUAACGAGCGCAACCCCUACCUUUAGUUGCCAUCAGGUAAUGCUGGGGACUCUAAAGGAACUGCCUACGCAAGUAGUGAGGAAGCGGGGAUGACGUCAAAUCAGCACGGCCCUUACGUCCAGGGCUACACACGUGCUACAAUGGCCGAUACAGAGGGCAGCUACCUGGUGACAGGAUGCAAAUCUCCAAAGUCGGUCUCAGUUCGGAUCGGAGUCUGCAACCCGACUCCGUGAAGUUGGAUUCGCUAGUAAUCGCGCAUCAGCCAUGGCGCGGUGAAUACGUUCCCGGGCCUU